CACGUAGGGUGCGAGCGUUUGUCCGGAAUUAUUGGGCGUAAAGAGCUCGUAGGCGGUGUGUCGCGUCGGCCGUGAAAACCUGCAGCUUAACUGUGGGCUUGCGGUCGAUACGGGCAUCACUGGAGUUCGGCAGGGGAGACUGGAAUUCCUGGUGUAGCGGUGAAAUGCGCAGAUAUCAGGAGGAACACCGGUGGCGAAGGCGGGGUCUCUGGGGCAGUAACUGACGCUGGAGGAGCGAAAAGCGU
rnacentral:rRNA from 1 species